rnacentral:rRNA from 1 species
GAAACCAACCGGGAUUGCCUUAGUAACGGCGAGUGAAGCGGCAAAAGCUCAAAUUUGAAAUCUGGUACCUUCGGUGCCCGAGUUGUAAUUUGGAGAGGGCAACUUUGGGGCCGUUCCUUGUCUAUGUUCCUUGGAACAGGACGUCAUAGAGGGUGAGAAUCCCGUGUGGCGAGGAGUGCGGUUCUUUGUAAAGUGCCUUCGAAGAGUCGAGUUGUUUGGGAAUGCAGCUCUAAGUGGGUGGUAAAUUCCAUCUAAAGCUAAAUAUUGGCGAGAGACCGAUAGCGAACAAGUACAGUGAUGGAAAGAUGAAAAGAACUUUGAAAAGAGAGUGAAAAAGUACGUGAAAUUGUUGAAAGGGAAGGGCAUUUGAUCAGACAUGGUGUUUUGUGCCCUCUGCUCCUUGUGGGUAGGGGAAUCUCGCAUUUCACUGGGCCAGCAUCAGUUUUGGUGGCAGGAUAAAUCCAUAGGAAUGUAGCUUGCCUCGGUAAGUAUUAUAGCCUGUGGGAAUACUGCCAGCUGGGACUGAGGACUGCGACGUAAGUCAAG